rnacentral:rRNA from 1 species
AGAGUUUGAUCCUGGCUCAGGACGAACGCUGGCGGCGUGCUUAACACAUGCAAGUCGAACGGAAAGGCCCCCACCUUGGUGGGGGUGCUCGAGUGGCGAACGGGUGAGUAACACGUGGGUGAUCUGCCCUGUACUUCGGGAUAAGCUUGGGAAACUGGGUCUAAUACCGGAUAGGACCAUGGUUUAGUGUCUCAUGGUGGAAAGAUUAUUGUUUUGGUGCAGGAUGAGCUCGCGGCCUAUCAGCUUGUUGGUGGGGUAAUGGCCUACCAAGGCGUCGACGGGUAGCCGGCCUGAGAGGGUGGACGGCCACAUUGGGACUGAGAUACGGCCCAGACUCCUACGGGAGGCAGCAGUGGGGAAUAUUGCACAAUGGGCGCAAGCCUGAUGCAGCGACGCCGCGUGGGGGAUGACGGCCUUCGGGUUGUAAACUCCUUUCGUUAGGGACGAAGCCGCACUUUUUUUGGGUGUGGUGACGGUACCUUUGUUAAGAAGCACCGGCUAACUACGUGCCAGCAGCCGCGGUAAUACGUAGGGUGCGAGCGUUGUCCGGAAUUACUGGGCGUAAAGAGCUCGUAGGUGGUUUGUUGCGUCGUCUGUGAAAUUCCGGGGCUUAACUUCGGGGUGGCAGGCGAUACGGGCAUAACUAGAGUGCUGUAGGGGAGACUGGAAUUCCUGGUGUAGCGGUGGAAUGCGCAGAUAUCAGGAGGAACACCGAUGGCGAAGGCAGGUCUCUGGGCAGUAACUGACGCUGAGGAGCGAAAGCAUGGGGAGCGAACAGGAUUAGAUACCCUGGUAGUCCAUGCUGUAAACGGUGGGCGUUAGGUGUGGGGACCGGUUUGGUUUCUGUGCCGUAGCUAACGCAUUAAGCGCCCCGCCUGGGGAGUACGGCCGCAAGGCUAAAACUCAAAGGAAUUGACGGGGGC